AAAGCUCAGUAACACGUAGUCAACUUACCCUAUGGACGAGGAUAAUCUCGGGAAACUGAGCAUAAUACUCGAUAGAUCAUAAUGCCUGGAAUGGUUUAUGGUUAAAAUGAUUCGUCGCCAUAGGAUGGGACUGCGGCCUAUCAGCUUGUUGGUGAGGUAAUGGCCCACCAAGGCGAUUACAGGUACGGGCUCUGAGAGGAGAAGCCCGGAGAUGGGUACUGAGACAAGGACCCAGGCCCUAUGGGGCGCAGCAGGCGAGAAAACUUUGCAAUGUGCGAAAGCACGACAAGGUUAAUCCGAGUGAUUUCUGCUAAAGAAAUCUUUUGCAAGUCAUAAAACCACUAGUGAAUAAGGGGUGGGCAAGUUCUGGUGUCAGCCGCCGCGGUAAAACCAGCACCUCAAGUGGUCAGGAGGAUUAUUGGGCCUAAAGCAUCCGUAGCCGGCUCUGUAAGUUUUCGGUUAAAUCCAUGUGCUCAACGCAUGGGCUGCCGAAAAUACUGCAUAGCUAGGGAGUGGGAGAGGUAGACGGUACUCGGUAGGAAGGGGUAAAAUCCUUUGAUCUAUCGAUGACCACCUGUGGCGAAGGCGGUCUACCAGAACACGUUCGACGGUGAGGGAUGAAAGCUGGGGGAGCAAACCGGAUUAGAUACCCGGGUAGUCCCAGCUGUAAACGAUGCAGACUCGAUGAUGCAUUGGCAUAUAGCCAGUGCAGUGUCGCAGGGAAGCCGUUAAGUCUGCCGCCUGGGAAGUACGUACGCAAGUAUGAAACUUAAAGGAAUUGGCGGGGGAGCAC
rnacentral:rRNA from 1 species